rnacentral:rRNA from 1 species
UACGUAGGGUGCAAGCGUUAAUCGGAAUUACUGGGCGUAAAGCGUGCGCAGGCGGUUAUGUAAGACAGAUGUGAAAUCCCCGGGCUUAACCUGGGAAUGGCGAUGGAGACUGCGAGGCUAGAGUUUGGCAGAGGGGGGUAGAAUUCCACGUGUAGCAGUGAAAUGCGUAGAGAUGUGGAGGAACACCGAUGGCGAAGGCAGCCCCCUGGGUCAAAACUGACGCUCAUGCACGAAAGCGUGGGGAGCAAACAGG